ACGCUCGACACCUACGGGAGGCAGCAGUGGGGAAUAUUGCACAAUGGGGGAAACCCUGAUGCAGCGACGCCGCGUGAGCGAAGAAGUAUUUCGGUAUGUAAAGCUCUAUCAGCAGGGAANAAACUGACGGUACCUGACUAAGAAGCACCGGCUAAAUACGUGCCAGUAGCCGCGGUAAUCUGAGCGGGCUGGCAAGGC
rnacentral:rRNA from 1 species